CUUUGCAAUACGCACUCGAUAUCGAAACACUGAGGGCCACAGGUUUUUCAGCCUUCGGCUGUAAUGUGUUUUACCCUCGUUAAAUAUAAGCUGCUACUACUACUACUACUACACUAUUCUUUAAUGUGAACAAGUUAGAAGCUUAUAUUAUUAUGCAUAUUUUACUACUGUACAGUAUAUAUUUGCUGAAUGUGUUUUAGAAGUACCGUAAACCUCCGACUAUAAGCCCUGGGCUUAUAUUGUUCCGCAACCGAUUUUUGAUGGGCUUAUAC